AAAUAAUCUGGUUCUUGUGAAAAAAAAACCCUUAGUAGUAAAAAUAAGAUUAAAGUAUUGAUAUUUGACUUAAUAUUUAUUGAUUUUGUAGAAAAAAAUGCACUGGCAUCAUAUUAAUUAAUGUAAUAAUUAUUGAUAUAAGUUUAAAUUUUGUGGAAACUGCAUUAAAAAAAAUACUUUCUCUGUCUUUGAAAAAUUUUAGGAAAAGUUUUUUUUUGGGAAAAAGUUUUUUUUAAGAUUUUUUUUGUUACGAUUAAGAGUAUAAGACAGGUAAUCAUCGGUUGAACAUGCCAUGCACUUGUAAUUUAAUUUAAUUAUCCGUCUCUAUUCAUUUUCUCAAGACCAAAAUCAAAAACCGGGUGAACAUUUUCGAAACGACCCCGGCUGUCACCUCUUGAGCUCCCGUCUCUCCGUCUUUCUGUGGGAUCGUUAGCAUGGAGCAACCCCGCCCCUCUUCCCAUCCCCCACGAGAGUCAAGUCUGGAAUCACGACUCUUGAGUCUCGACCCAGAAGACUUGAGUCACGGCUUACAGGGUGAAACGCAGCAGACAUGCAGCCGAGGCCUCUACUAGGAUGAUGUCAUGAAAUGGGCGGAGCCCAUAAGGAGCAAAAGGCGGAGCCUCAGAGAUGGAGUUGAUACUUGCGGGUAGUAAAAAAGCUCACGAAACUAAUUCAUAUUUCAUAAAUAGUUUGUUAUUUAUUGUGAAUUGAAGUAAAAAAAAGGUUUUCUGGAUACUAUCUUACGGAGCCCCUAAAGGGACAUUGGAAAAAAAAAUUAAAGUUUAAA